rfam:Gossypium raimondii Chr01_contig_1219, whole genome shotgun sequence.
UGUUAAAAUUUUUUUUCAUUUGUAUUGUAAAAAAUUAACGUUAUUAAUAGAAUGACCAGGCAGUGACACAUGAUGUGCCACAUGUAUCUCAUGCUGAUAUACAUGGAUCAAUUUUAAACAAUAAAAAUGAAUGAAUUUUUUACA